UUACUAUAAUUUUUAAAAAUGUUUAGUUAAGUAUUCAGCUCUCUAUGUCAGCUAAGGCCCAUAAUUGUAAUUAUCCUACUGUUAGAUCUAUUAAUUAUUUAAUAAUUAGUAGGCCUAAUUAUAGGAAUUAGGUCUGAUACAUUAAGUCCUAUACAUUGGUCGUAGAGUAAUACUAUUGGGCUAGUAAUUAUAUACAAUAUCUAUACAAGCCUACUUAUCGUUAAUUUGGAAGUCUUUGCAUUGACCUUAGUUUUCAGAUGUAGCAGCCUAAUUUUUAUCAGAUUAUACCAUAAAAUCAAAAGUAGACUUGUAGAUCUUUUUAAAACAAGGCAUGAAAUAUUAAUUUAAAUAAUAUAAAUUAAACAAAUAGCCUAAAUAACAACUACACAAAGUUAAAGUCAUAAUAACUUUUUAUAAAGGUAUCUUGAAUUUCAACUGGAGGUAGUUUUGAUAAAUAUUAGUAUUCUGAACAUUAAAAUAGGUAGACUUAACAUACAUUUGUUCUGAAAACAUAUUUAGAAAUUGGUUUUAAAAAAUGAGGUUAGGAUUGGGGUGAUAACUAGUUGAGGAUUAGAUAUGAUAUUCAUUGUGUUUAUCCAUGUUGUAAUUUCUCUUUUACAGGUUCAUCCAAAAAAAAGGGAAGAUCUGAUUUUUACCAGUAAUAAGACUACAGCAUACUAAAUGACACAAGAUGUUCUUUCUCUAUUACCUCUUACAUUUGACAUAAAAGUAGGAAAAGGUUUAACAGUCUAUGCCUACAACAUAGAUCUCCAGGACUAAAAGUACACAAAAUGGCAAUCAGUAUAUCACAAGUGUAAUAACACAUGCAUCUAAUCUGCUUCAGUGGCGAGAACUGGGUGAAUCCUCUCAAACAUUAAUCAGGAACUAGGCAUACCUAAUGAGCAUCAAGCUGAUACAGUAGAUGUACAGAAGAGUUUAUACACAAGGAAGUGAAAAGUGAUGUAAAAGGCAACUAAUACUUCCAUCUACCAUAGUUAAACAAGAAUCUGCAAAUGGUGAUAAUUGCAAUAAUCUUGAUAUAUUAAUGUUUGGCUUUAUAAUUAUAUGCAAUUGUUUCAUAAAUAAAUUAUUUCUCAAAAUUUGAUGUUUUU